CUUGCCCAGUUGCCCUAACUAUUCGACAGCCUCUAUUCGACAGCCUCUAUUCUUCCUAGUUCCUAUUCGACAGCCUCUACACCGACUCCUCGCUCUAUUCCUCCUCUUCAUCCUCUUGGUUCUUCGAAUCCAAGCAGAACUCGACACCUCAUCCUCCAUCUUUUUCGAGUCAGGCCAGCUCUUGUUCCUCCUCUUCGUUCUACGCCUCCUCUUCGCUAUAUUCCUCCUCUUCAUCAUCUUGGUUCUUCGAAUCCAAGCACUAUAUACUAAAGCUCAGUUGCCCGGUUACUGUUGUGGAGUGAGGCUUUUGCUCUUUCUACUUUCCUCAAUUACAGUUUGGCAUUCUUCUGUAAACUUCUGAGAGAGAGCGAAGAGAGCCGAGUGACCUGGGUAGAGGAAGAAGAAGAAGAAGAAGGGAUUUCGAAUCGCAAACAAAUCCUCAGGGAAAUCAUCAGCCCGGGCAGUCCAACCCGAAGUUGUUGGUGGCCGUCCAGCAGGUGUGGAGUUUUCGGCAGAGAUUCAUGACUUUGUAGUUGAGGAUAAAGCCAAGUUGUACCCUUCUGUUAAAGAUGGUGUAUCCAUUACUAUAAGGCAUAUACAUUUCUGUAAUUGAAGAAUCCUAAUAUUGAUGACUGGAUACUUGAGUGAUGCAACUAUGGCUGAGGAUGCCUUAUCUGUUUGCAUGACUAUAAUGAUUGGGAGCUCAUAUUUCCUUUAACCUUCUUUGCGGGGACAGGGAAUUGUGUUUCAUCUACAGAGUUAUUCUUCAUUCAGCUGGGCAAAGUUCGAAGCUUGCAUUACCGUGUAACUGGAGCUUUCUAGGCAUUCUUUAUCUCUGGUAACGUAAGCGUUGAGCCAGCUGCUUCACUUCUUGAAAUAGUGUAUGCAGGUUGCUUUGGAUCGGACAAAGGAGAGCGUCCUUGUAGAGGAAGUGUCUGAACAAUUGAAGCGUACAACAGAGGGUCUAAAAUUUGAGGAGCAUUCAGUUUCAACAAUCACUUCAAGAUAAAUCCAAGUGUUCAGCAAUGGAUAAAUCUUGGAUAAUAAUGUAGGGAACAUUGGAUAAUAAUGUAGAAUUCUUCAUCUCUUUUGGUGGUCAGCUGCAGUUUGUUUAGUUGGGAAUACAUUAUGUGGGCUACAUUAAUAAUGUAGGGAACAUUGGAUAUUGACAAUCAUAUGGGAGGAUGAAAUCUACAUCUUGGACCCUUUGGGAAAAUCAAUCCAUUACCAAGCAUGGGGGAACUCUGUGAUAAAUGCAAUUAAAAGUUUCAAUGCUGAAACGGGUAGGACUAACAAGGUGCCGAAAUUGAAACUACUUCCGGGCGUACCUAAACAACCGGGUGGAGUUGAGUGUGGCUAUUGUGUAAUGCGAUACAUGAAGGACAUUAUAAAUGAUGACACGCUUUCAUUUCCGACCAAGUGGGCAGUGAUGACUCGGAAAGUAUACACCCAAGAUGAACUUGACGAGGUCCGCAUUGAAGUAGCUGACUAUUUGCAGACUUUGCUAUAGAUGCUGACUCUACCAAAGUGAUUUUGAGUAAGGCUAGCUAGAUUUUGUAGAAUCAUUUUGAAGUAGAACGUUGUACAGUUGCAGGUGAACUAAACUGCAUAUAGUUAUUGCAAUGGUCUAUUUUGGGCUAGCCUUGAUGUAGGUUGGGGUGUUUUUGCCUAUUUUUGAAACUAUUAACAAUUCUGCUGUUCGACAGAAAUUAAUGCAAUGCCCCAUAUUCAAUUAA